rfam:Triticum urartu cultivar G1812 contig988620, whole genome shotgun sequence.
AUUAUACUCCCUCCGUCCGAAAAUACUUGUCAUCAAAAUGGACAAAAAGGGAUGUAUCUAAAACUAAAAUACAUCUAGAUACAUCCCUUUUAUCCAUUUUGAUGACAAGUAUUUCCGGACGGAGGGAGUAUAUA